AAAUAUUAAUAUGCAGCUGUAAAACAAAAUUGGCUGGGGCAUUCAAGCUAGUACAAAGUCUAAAAUUAUUUUUUACUUUCUUUAUGAAUAAAUUUCAAGUAGAAGGUGUUCCUUUAAUUCUAAUUUAAUUUGUCUCUAUUUAUAGCACCUGAUGCCAAAUUCUGUCCUCAUCUGUACCAUUGCCACUAAUGUCAUUUGGGUUGCAGAGCUCUCUCACCUGCCAGAAGAAGACAAGAGUGAAGAGGAGGAGGAUCCUGGAACCUUAAAAGGACUGACCAAAACCCAAAGGGUUCUCAGAGUGGCAAGGAUAAUGGGUAUAGCAGGCAAGAUUUUGAAGUCCUGGGGAUACAGCCACUGUUCUGGAAAGCAAAAGGAACACAUUUUGGAAAUACACCACUGUCAGCUUUGCUAAUUAAUUACCUACCUUUGAGGCACUGAGGGGGGUGAAGUGACUUGUUCAGGUGGACAUAGCUAGUCAGUAGUAAAUAGACAUAGCCACCUGCAGUACAUUGAACUUUGCUGUCUGAAUUCCCAUGCUCCUCUCUAAUCAUGCUACUCCCUCCCUACAUUUUCCACCCAAAAGGGAAUGAAGCUGAAAAAUAUUUUAUUCUAAUACAAGCAAUUUUUAAAAUAAAAUUAUCCUAAACUUGUAGUUGCUGAAAAUUUAAUAUUUUGCAUGUGGAGUAAACUAUUGCCAGGCAAAUCUGCCCACAGGAAGACAUCCGAGAACCCAGCUGGUGCUAUUUAUUACAGCAGAACAAUGCUUUCUGAACAAACACCAGCCUUCAAGAAGGCAGGGUUCCUUGGAACUGUGUUCUGUGAGAGAUCGGCAACUAUUAUUAUUUUUUUUUUUUUUAGUGUUUCUUUUUCCUAUUAGCUAGAGUGAACUCAAGCCAUCUGGAGUGGGACUGGUGAAGAAGAGUAAUCUGCUGUCAGCAGUCUGACUCUGUUAGCGAGUCAGCAGUGUGACAUGAAGGACUUAGCAAGGAGUCCCACACUGAACCGCAUCUCCUCAUGAUUAAAACCAGUCCCACCUACUUGGCAUGCUUAUUCAAGAUGUUACUAUUUAGUGGAUGGUGGUCUAAUAAUUCAGGCUUAGCUUUUCCUGCCUUUGAUUCUUUGUGCAUAGCCUAUUCAGUUCCAUAAGAUACUAUUUGGAAAAUUAUAGUUUACUGCAUUGCCAGCAAUAAGAAACUCAUGGACGUGUCCCAAAAUGCUACAUUGUAACUUGUUUCCUGCACUGAAGGAACUUCAAAAUCUGCCAGGAAGUCUUGCACUGUGGAGAUGGCUGUGGACAUGUGUGAUUUAAAAAAGCCACUUAUAGCCAAUUUAUAGCCAAUGUUAUUUACCUGCGGUAUUACAUUGUGUGGUCAGCAAUGUUAAAAUAAAAGGUGACCAUAACAUUAAACAGUAAUAGUGAGAAGUACAUGCAAGCACUAACUUGUUCUUGGCAUUAAAUGAGGAAAUACAUGAUUUCCUGCUACACUUGCAUUUGUUUGUGUUUCUCAGCAUAACAGUUCAUUGUACCUUUCACAAUCCCUGAAGUCAUAGGCUGGACUUCCCAGAACUCCAUGCAGACCCAUCAGGCAUGACCUGAAUUUGGACAGCUUUGCACCACUAUGCCUGCAACUACAAGAUAAGACCUCCCAGGCUCUUCAUUGCCCCAAUGAGAAUGCAAGGAGCUAGGGGAGCAAGGAAGUUGUAGCAGAAGCUUAAAAGCCAGAACAUUCUCAUUAACAGUUUUCAACCUCUUCUUCUCCUGGUUCUGUCUCCAGGUAUAUGUACAGAUGCUAGCUGUGUCAGCUGGAGAGCACAGCCAUA